GCACGUCGCAGGAAGACUGAUGCUAUUGGUUAGUAAAAGUAAAGGCCAUCCAACGACUUCCGCUCCGCUCCUUUUAAGAACAAGCCUCAGCUCCGCUCCGUUCUUUCGAGACUACGGACCCGGGAAGGGCCCUCCCCGUCGAGGACGCCAGUGUGCGCUCUGCGUUGCGUUUUCAGCCCCUCCCUGCCUCCGAGCGUCAAUAAAGUGGCUUGACCCCCG